CCCGUAAGUCUCGUUUACUUUCACUUUCGAUUUACCACUUCCGGGUACAUCGGCAGACUUAUUUACCGUUACGCAUAUAGGUAACCCGAAGAACUCGAGAGAUAUAGAAGUUAAAUUUGUUUCGGUCCGCUUCAGAUUUGAAGGAAUGGAAAACACUGGUCAAAAAAUGCAGAUGUGUAGACAGGGAGGUAUAUUGACAAGUACAUGUAUAGAAUAUACAGUUCUUCACUAUGGACCAUUAAUCAACUGUUUACACUGCCUAUGAUCCUGAAAUAUCUAUACAUCAAAGAUAAAAAGAAAAAAGAUGAAGGGACUUUGUCCAUGAAGACCUUUAUUGCAACUACCAUCUUCCAGUUCCUUAAUUUGAGAAUGAUAUCAGAGAACACACAGUUACAUUGAACUAUUAGUUUAAUAUAAGCCACUGAUGUAAAAGAGUAUGAUUUUAUGGUAUUUGACACUAUGAUUCCAUAAUGUAGUUAUCUUGUUAAUGUCACAGUGAUAGAAACAGAGUAAAAUAUCCACAUUUCAUUGCAGUUUUAAGUAUUAAAACUAGAUGUUCUAUAAAUACCAAAGUAGAAAACACAUCAGAGAUAAGGAUUUUCAUGGAAUCACAGUAUAGUCAUAUGUCAUUAUGGACAUUAAAUGAUAAUGAAGUAAAGAUGAAAAAGAAAUAGCAAAACUAUUAUAUAUCAUCUACAUACUAAUAUUGUGAGGUAAUCAUUGAUAAGCUCACAAAUUUUCAUUCAAAGCUUUGAUAUCAAGCUGACCAUUUUUCAACUAGAAUAUGUUUUAUAACUCUAUGAUAAUUUGUUCAUGUUAAUUAUGGUAAUUUUCAAACUCUUUACAUUUGUAAAAGGAAACAUUCUUAUUCUUGUAUAAGUAGACUUUCACAGUGUAAAGGUACAUUGUCCAAAUAAUUAAUAAUAGUUUCAAGUGCUUUCCUGAAGUUUUUCUUCCACUGGAAUAUCAGUGUGAUAUAUUUGCAAAGCAGUGCACUAUAAAGUGUGUAAAAAUAAAAGUUUAUCAAACUUAUGAACUGUUUUUUUUUGUUUCUACUAUUUGGCAUAUAUUUAUAGCAGUGCUUGAUCAUAAUGGUUCAUCUGCAAAAUAAGUGUCACUGUGUACUUUAAGCAAUGGUUAGAUUGCUUGAAUAUGCAAGCAUUGACUAAAGUAAAUACUAUGCAUGUCAUUUGAAUUUUGUCUGUCCUGAAAUCGAAACAGACACUAUCUAAAUGAUAUUGAUGAAAAGUUCUUGACAGCUCUUCAAUGACUACAUUUACACAUGGACAAAAGUUAAAAGCAUUCAUUGUGUGUUUUUUUUUUUUAAAAAAACAUUGACAAUUUUGAAACAUCCCAAUGGGUAUAUUAAUGUACCAGUGAUGUAAUUGUUUUGUAUCAAGUGCAAACCCUAAGUGUUGCUUGUUUUGUAUAGAUGAUUCACUUUUGGUCAAAU